CCUCCAUCUCUGCUUCGUCAUUAUUCUUUUCAGACUGAUGUGGAACGGACGGGUUUUGUUCACACAUUACACAAGUCUUACACAAUGUGUCAUGGGUCACCCCCCUGCUGUGCGCCCUGUUGAGCGCACCACGGCCCACACCAACGGGCGUUCCCUCUUCCCUGCGGGCGUCCCUCCGCAAGAGAUCUGCAAUCAACACACCUGCCUGUGAUGAGCCACCAGCCUUCAUAAGCCAGGGCGUCUUGAGAUCCGGUGCCAGAACGUAGCUUCUCCUACCAGUACAGUUCCUCGUCCUCCAGCUGUGGGUCUCGUCUACCCGGACCCUCCUUGGAUUCCCUCUUUCCUUCCAGGACUAAGACCUCGCUGCUGUCCUCGACCAUCCGCCUGCCCUCUGACGUCCGAGCCUGCUUUUCCCCUUUUGGACUUCUGUCUCGAUCUCAACACGCCCACUCAACACCCUCUGCUGACCACGCUCAGAUAAUACUCACACAUAGUCACACUACAUC